rnacentral:rRNA from 1 species
CUCGUAGGUGGUUGGUCACGUCUGCUGUGGAAACGCAACGCUUAACGUUGCGCGUGCAGUGGGUACGGGCUGACUAGAGUGCAGUAGGGGAGUCUGGAAUUCCUGGUGUAGCGGUGAAAUGCGCAGAUAUCAGGAGGAACACCGGUGGCGAAGGCGACCACCUGGACUGAUACUGACACUGAGGUGCGAAAGCGUGGGGAGCAAACAGGAUUAGAUACCCCUGUA